UACGUAGGGGGCAAGCGUUGUCCGGAAUCAUUGGGCGUAAAGAGCGCGUAGGCGGUCCGGUAAGUCCGCUGUGAAAGUCAAGGGCUCAACCCUUGAAUGCCGGUGGAUACUGUCGGGCUAGAGUCCGGAAGAGGCGAGUGGAAUUCCUGGUGUAGCGGUGAAAUGCGCAGAUAUCAGGAGGAACACCAAUGGCGAAGGCAGCUCACUGGACCAUUACUGACGCUGAGGCGCGAAAGCUAGGGGAGCAAACAGG
rnacentral:rRNA from 1 species